UACGAAGGGGGCUAGCGUUGCUCGGAAUCACUGGGCGUAAAGCGCACGUAGGCGGCUUUCUAAGUCAGGGGUGAAAUCCUGGAGCUCAACUCCAGAACUGCCUUUGAUACUGGAGAGCUUGAGUCCGGAAGAGGUGAGUGGAACUCCGAGUGUAGAGGUGAAAUUCGUAGAUAUUCGGAAGAACACCAGUGGCGAAGGCGGCUCAACUGGUCCGGUACUGGACGCUGAUGUGCGAAAGCGUGGGGAGCAAACAGGG
rnacentral:rRNA from 1 species